rnacentral:rRNA from 1 species
GACGAACCGUCCAAACGUUAUUCGGAUUUACUGGGCUUAAAGAGUGUGUAGGCGGUGCUCUAAGUUCGGUGUGAAAUCUCCCGGCUUAACUGGGAGGGUGCGCCGGAAACUGGAGUGCUCGAGCGUGGGAGAGGAAAGCGGAAUUCCUGGUGUAGCGGUGAAAUGCGUAGAUAUCAGGAGGAACACCUGCGGUGUAGACGGCUUUCUGGACCAUUGCUGACGCUGAGACACGAAAGCGUGGGUAGCAAACAGG